rnacentral:rRNA from 1 species
AGAACGAACGCUGGCGGCAUGCCUAACACAUGCAAGUCGAACGAGACCUUCGGGUCUAGUGGCGCACGGGUGCGUAACGCGUGGGAAUCUGCCCUUGGGUUCGGAAUAACAGUUGGAAACGACUGCUAAUACCGGAUGAUGUCUUCGGACCAAAGAUUUAUUGCCCAGGGAUGAGCCCGCGUAGGAUUAGCUUGUUGGUGAGGUAAAGGCUCACCAAGGCGACGAUCCUUAGCUGGUCUGAGAGGAUGAUCAGCCACACUGGGACUGAGACACGGCCCAGACUCCUACGGGAGGCAGCAGUGGGGAAUAUUGGACAAUGGGCAAAGCCUGAUCCAGCAAUGCCGCGUGAGUGAUGAAGGCCUUAGGUUGUAAAGCUCUUUUACCCGGGAUGAUAAUGACAGUACCGGAGAAUAAGCUCCGGCUAACGUCCGUGCCAGCACGCCGC